rnacentral:rRNA from 1 species
GGAUCAUUACAGAGUGUAAAAACUCCCAACCCAUGUGAACUUUACCUCCCCCUCGGGCCCCUAAAAAGGCCCCUGGGCGUUGCUUCGGCCCCUGGCAACAGGGGUCGGAGGUACCAAACUUUUAUUUUUAAAGUAUCUCUGAGGCCUAUUGGCAACUAUAACAACUUUCAACAACGGAUCUCUUGGCUCCAGCAUCGAUGAAGAACGCAGCGAAAUGCGAUAAGUAUUGUGAAUUGCAGAAUCCAGUGAAUCAUCGAAUCUUUGAACGCACAUUGCGCCCGCCGGAAUUCCGGCGGGCAUGCCUGUUCGAGCGUCAUUUCAACCCUCAAAUCCCCAGGAUUUGGUGUUGGGACGUCCGCGUCAGCGGGGGUCCUCAAAUCUAUAGGCGGUACCGCACGGCACUGAACGCAGUAAUCUUUAUUCGUUUGGUAGGUCGGGCGGCUGCUUGCCUCUAAACCCUUCUUUCUAAGGUUGACCUCGGAUCAGGUAGGAAUACCCGCUGAACUUAAGCAUAUCAAUAAGCGGAGGAAAAGAAACCAACAGGGAUUGCCUCAGUAACGGCGAGUGAAGCGGCAACAGCUCAAAUUUGAAAUCUGGCCUUCGGGUCCGAGUUGUAAUUUGCAGAGGAUGCGUUCGGCGACGCACUGACCGAGUCCCCUGGAAUGGGGCGCCAUAGAGGGUGAGAGCCCCGUAUGGUCGGCUGCUGAACCGGUGUAAUGCUCCUUCGACGAGUCGAGUAGUUUGGGAAUGCUGCUCUAAAUGGGAGGUAAAUUUCUUCUAAAGCUAAAUACCGGCUGGAGACCGAUAGCGCACAAGUAGAGUGAUCGAAAGAUGAAAAGCACUUUGAAAAGAGGGUUAAAAAGCACGUGAAAUUGUUGAAAGGGAAGCGCCUAUUACCAGACUCUGUUCUUGGGGAUCAUCCGUCCUUCUGGGCGGUGCACUCCCCUUGGAUGGGGCCAGCAUCGGUUUUCGGCGGGGGAAAAGGACUUAGGGAAUGUGGCUCCCCUCGGGGAGUGUUAUAGCCCUCUGUUUGAUGCCCCGCCGGGGACCGAGGACCGCGCU